GAGUUUGAUCCUGGCUCAGGAUUAACGCUGGCGGCAUGCCUAAUACAUGCAAGUCGAACGGAGUAGCAAUACUUAGUGGCGAACGGGUGAGUAACACGUAUCUAAUCUACCAUUUAGUGGGGAAUAACUGUUGGAAAUGACAGCUAAUACCGCAUAAUAUUGCUGGAUAAUUUCCAGUAAUGAAAGGAGCUUUCAAGCUCCGCUGAUUGAUGAGGAUGCGGCGCAUUAGCUAGUUGGUAGGGUAAUGGCCUACCAAGGCAAUGAUGCGUAGCCGAUCUGAGAGGAUGAACGGCCACAUUGGGACUGAGACACGGCCCAAACUUCUACGGAAGGCAGCAGUAGGGAAUUUUUCACAAUGGGCGAAAGCCUGAUGGAGCAAUGCCGCGUGACUGAUGAAGGUCUUCGGAUUGUAAAGGUCUGUUGUAAGGGAAGAAAUGGUAAAACAGGAAAUGGUUUUAUCUAUGACGGUAUCUUACCAGAAAGCCACGGCUAACUAUGUGCCAGCAGCCGCGGUAAUACAUAGGUGGCAAGCGUUAUCCGGAUUUAUUGGGCGUAAAGGGUGCGUAGACGGUUUUGCAAGUCUGAGGUUAAAUUUAGGAGCUCAACUCCUAAUCGCCUUGGAAACUACAAGACUAGAGUAUAGGAGAGGUUAGUGGAAUUCCAUGUGUAGCGGUGGAAUGUGUAGAUAUAUGGAGGAAACACCAGUGGCGAAAGGC
rnacentral:rRNA from 1 species